AGGCCUAUAACACUGAUAAACGGAUUUGCAUAGAUACAUAUAACUACUUGUGGGAUCAGUUGCCUCCACAACCCUUUAAAGCAUUAGAUUAUUGAUAGGCAAAUGCAGAAAGGGAUUUUUGGGAGUCUUAUCCUUCAAGGACUCUACUUAUUAAUAUUGUAUUAAUUUAUAAUCAACAUAUUAAGUGAUAAUAUUUAAUUAAAACAAAUACAUUUGAGAAGAUAGGAUGCAUACAGUUAUUUAACUCAUAUCUGUACGAAACAAUAAAUCGUGUAGUAUUCUGAGAAAACUGCAGA